UCAGUUCAGUGGUUCAGACAUGUUCGACUCUUUGUGACUCCAUGGACUGCAGCAUGCCAGGCUUCCCUGUCCAUCACCAACUCCCAGAACUUCCUCAAAAUCAUGUCCAUUGAGUCGGUGAUGCCAUCCAACCAUCUCAUCCUCUGUCGUCUCUUUCUCCUGCUGCCUUCAAUUUUACCCAGCAU